rnacentral:rRNA from 1 species
AACAAUCCUUCGGGUGCGUUAAUGGGCGUCGAGCGGCGGACGGGUGAGUAAUGCCUAGGAAAUUGCCUUGAUGUGGGGGAUAACCAUUGGAAACGAUGGCUAAUACCGCAUAAUGCCUACGGGCCAAAGAGGGGGACCUUCGGGCCUCUCGCGUCAAGAUAUGCCUAGGUGGGAUUAGCUAGUUGGUGAGGUAAUGGCUCACCAAGGCGACGAUCCCUAGCUGGUCUGAGAGGAUGAUCAGCCACACUGGAACUGAGACACGGUCCAGACUCCUACGGGAGGCAGCAGUGGGGAAUAUUGCACAAUGGGCGAAAGCCUGAUGCAGCCAUGCCGCGUGUAUGAAGAAGGCCUUCGGGUUGUAAAGUACUUUCAGUUGUGAGGAAGGGGGUAGCGUUAAUAGCGCUAUCUCUUGACGUUAGCAACAGAAGAAGCACCGGCUAACUCCGUGCCAGCAGCCGCGGUAAUACGGAGGGUGCGAGCGUUAAUCGGAAUUACUGGGCGUAAAGCGCAUGCAGGUGGUUCAUUAAGUCAGAUGUGAAAGCCCGGGGCUCAACCUCGGAACUGCAUUUGAAACUGGUGAACUAGAGUACUGUAGAGGGGGGUAGAAUUUCAGGUGUAGCGGUGAAAUGCGUAGAGAUCUGAAGGAAUACCAGUGGCGAAGGCGGCCCCCUGGACAGAUA